UACGAAGGGGGCUAGCGUUGCUCGGAAUCACUGGGCGUAAAGCGCACGUAGGCGGCUUUCUAAGUCAGGGGUGAAAUCCUGGAGCUCGACUCCAGAACUGCCUUUGAUACUGGAGAGCUUGAGUCCGGAAGAGGUGAGUGGAACUCCGAGUGUAGAGGUGAAAUUCGUAGAUAUUCGGAGGAACACCAGUGGCGAAGGCGGCUCACUGGUCCGGUACUGACGCUGAUGUGCGAAAGCGUGGGGAGCAAACAGG
rnacentral:rRNA from 1 species